rnacentral:misc_RNA from 1 species
GGAUUUCUUUGUAGACUGUACGAUAAUGUUUUUCAGACUCCUUAAAUUGUCUAUUGGCAUGGCUACAAAUUUAUUGCUCAGCUCCCCAAUAUUCAUCACUAGCAUCAAUUUGUAGGAUCUUUUUUCCUGUACUGGGAAUCUUUAAAGGAGGAGGUUUUUGUGCCACUUCCUUUAAUUUCUUUACAGUUGCCAUUUGCUCAAGACUCCAGUCAGGGGCUUGCUUUUUGACCAUCUUGGAGAGAAGGCUAGUAUAUUUGGACACAUUAGGGAUAA